UACCAUAUGUAAAGGGCACUGAAGGGAUUUAGCUAAAAGGCUUCAUCAUGGAGAAAAUGGGUCUGGAGCUGGCAUAAGAAAGUGGGAGGAGGUUUAACAAGCAGCAGCGAAGAAGGGGGAAAGGAGGGUUAUGUAAAAAAGGAGAGUUAUGUAAGAAGUUUUGUUUCUUUUGAUUGCUAACCUCUUGCUUGAGGUUUUCCCACAGCUGCAGCUGCAAAUCUUCAAAAGGGAAGAUUUUGAAUAUUGAGGGGGGGUUGGUUGUUUUUCUACAAUAAUUCACUCGGGAGAGAAACUACAUCAAUGUUGAAAAAGGAAGAUGAGAAUUAUUCAGUGUAACUUGAAAGCAUUAUGUUUCUUGUUAAAUCCUAACCAGAGUUCUAAUGAAGAUAAGUCCACAAACAAGAGGCCAUCUGCUAGCUCAGCCUUUCCAACUUCGAGCUCUGCAAGGGAAAGAGGAGACUUGCCAUGCAGCAUCUGCAGGACACCAACAAAGACCAUCAGCAACACUUCCCUGCAGUCUACUGUCUCUGACCUCUCCAUUGAGUGCAUCCAAGGGAGGACCAGCAGGGACAGCAAUUCUGCACCUUCUCUCCUACAGGGAAGAUCUGAGGAAACCCCAGCAAGAGAACCAGAGGCCUGGCUCAAUGGCAGCUUUCCCUUUCCAUUUUCCCAAGCCUUUCUUUGGGCCAUUGGCCUCCAGCAUCCACACAUCCAUGCAAUACCUUCUCCAGCUGCAGCCUCCAGGGCAAGCAGAGAUCCAAUGACAGAAAUAGUUUGCAAAACUUUGUAUGAAGAAACAAUUGUUCUUCUUGCAUACUUUUGUUUUUCUUUUAAUCUAAUAAUAAACCCUUGUUGGUGAA